UGAAAGUAGACCUCUCCUGGCUGUUUUCCUUGCCGUGCAAUCUAGGCCAUGAAGAAGGCACACACGUGAAAGCUUCAGGAGGGUGGAUCGUGGCUGGGUGAAAGGCCACUGCGGAGUUGGGUGAAUCGGGCCUUUUCAGGCACUACAGGAGGCGCCAGGGCGAAGGGCCUCUCCCGUUGGCCUUAAGAGCUCGAGGCUUGAGCCGAGACCCUUAGCCGCUGGAUAUGGAGCAAUGUGUGAAGUGUCCUGAUGACCAGUAUGCCACAAUACAGCGAGACCAUUGCCUCCAAAAGUCUGUGACUUUCCUUGCUUAUGAAGACCUCAUGGGGAAGAUGCUGGCUGGCACAGUCCUGAGUCUCAGUGUCCUCACAGUUGCUGUUCUUGGGCUUUUUGUGAAGAAUCGAGACACUCCCAUUCUCAAGGCCAACAACCAGGCUCUCAGCUACACCCUGCUCAUCUCCCUCGCCUCCUGCUUCUUCUGUUCCUUGCUCUUCACUGGCCACCCCAACACAGCCACCUGAAUCCCCCAGAAGACCACAAUUGCAGUUCUCUUCACUGUGGCUGUUUCUUCUGUCUUGGCCAAAACAAUUACUGUGGUGCUGGCCUUUAAGGUCACUGCUCCAGGCAGGAGGAUGAGGCAGUUGCUGGUAUCAGGGGCACCAAACUAUAUCAUCCCAAUCCGCACCCUGGUCCCACUCACUCUACGUGGAGUGUGGAUGGGGACAAACCCACUCUACAUUGACAUAGAUGCACACUCUGAGCAUGGAGAUGCAUAGGAAUGACAAGAUGUCUUCAGAUGAGUGAGGCACCAAGAUGGUGGCAGUUGAGUGGAAGAAUAAGAUGGCAGAGAGGGGGAGAAGUGACAAGAUGGUGGAGGAUGGGUGGCAGAAGUACUGCUGUGGUGUGAUGGAGGACAAAAUGGUGACAGUAGAGAUCAGAAGAAGGGGUGUAGGGAGAAAAAGAUGAAGAAAAAGACAGAGAAGAAUACAGCAGAGAAGAUGGAGGAGAUGCAGAUUGGGGCAAAAGACAAUGGGAAGAUUCUUAUGGGAAUGGUGGAGGAGUAAGAAUGGCAUGCAAUCAUCUAUAAGGUAAAUGAGACUUUUGGGUGUAGGGGGUUUGGCAGUGUAGGGUGAGCCAAGAGGACCUGGGUUACCUCACAUGUCUGGAUAAGGGAGGGACAUUCCUGGAGAGCAAAAAAGGCAUGGAAAUAAGGAAUCUCUGGUUGCCAUUAUAGUAGCAGAACUUCACUAAUUCAUGAAGGGUGGCAAAAUUGAAGGUAUCUGCCUCUGACCAGUGAUCACUGUCAAGAUUUUAAAGUGGCCAAGAUGUCUGCAUAAAAUAAUUUUCUGCAUUUUAAAGACUCCGAGAGACGUAGUAUGCCCAAGGACAAGACGGCCAUAGUUGAGAUAGCAUGCAACAUUCCACUUCAGUAUUACUUCAGGUAAGCAAAAAGACUGGAGUAAUCAGUUUGUAUUCUGUUUAUGCCAAGAUGAAGAAUGCCUGAAGAUCACAAACAAUACUACAAGCCAGUGCCAAAGAACCAGGGGCUAGUAGGUGAAACAGGCAUCAACUUCUCAUCUCCAAUAAUUUGAAGCAGUGGGAUCUUAUGACAGAAUUAAGACACAAAAAUCCAGCUAUGCCUGGAGGACAUCUUUGAGAAACAGUCAUUUCCUAAGGGUUCUCAACACAGUACAUAAAUAUAACUACCAUAAACAAUUUACAAGCAUGAAUAAAAUUAAAAUAAGAAUUAGAAAA